UAUAGAAAUACUGCAAGGGUCAAAUUAUAAUAAACGAAGCUGUAGGGAUCAUAUGUAAUAAACAGUACAGAGACAACAAAACUAUUAUGAACAGUGUAUCUUUAUAUUAAUAAAAGUGUUAAAUUACCCGAGUCAAAAAAAGGGAUUCUUGAAAUUGCCCCACGUCAUCAUCAUCAUCAUCUCCUCUCUGUGGAAAAUGCAUACCAAGUGUUCGACGAAAUGGCUGAAAGGAAAGUUGGCAUUUCAGACGUGUAUUGACAUCCUGGUAUAUCUGUAUUUUAUGAGUAAAAGCAACAUUGUCACUUUUUAUCGUUGCUAUCUUUUCGUCUUUCAGUUUUCUCGAAAGAUUUCUGUUUCAAUAUCUAACCUUUAUGCAUGAGUUUGAAGAAUCAUAAUGAUUCACAAAGCGUCAUAUAUCAAUCCUAUACGGCAUGCAUAAAUGUAGUGAACCCUGUAAGAAAUUUUGUAGAUUGCUUAGUAAACUUCCGCAUUUAAGGCGAUGAUUUUACUUCUUAAGAUCAUUUUAAAGUUUUUUACUUUACUGCUUUAGAUCAUUUCAAAGUUUUUUACUUUACAGCUUGAGACCAUUUUCAAGCUUCGAAUUUGUAUUGUUUAGCUCCAUUUAGAAUUAUGAUGAAAACUGUAAUGGCUGAAUAUGAGACUAAGUACUGCCCAGCUCUCAGCUGCUGGUGGUGCUUUGCUUCAACGUGAUGUCUCUGCCUUACUCAUCUGAAUUCUCUUUUCUGCAUUGUUUUUGUAUUUUGUUCAACUCAUUGACAUGUUCUCGUAUCAUCUUGCCAUGUUUUAAAAUAGAGUUGACUUGUUUGAUCAAAUGUCAAUUGUAUUUUGAUGCAGAGAUGUCUUUAAAACAAUAUUUUAGGUUUCUUCUUGUACGGAUUGGGCAAAGUUUUGAUAUCCAAAAGCAGAAGAGUUGACAACGAUUAUUAAAAAAGGAAACAGAGUCAGUCGCAAAGCCUGAACCGUUCACUGAUAUAGACAGAUGGUGAUGAUCUCUUCAGAUGCUACUGCGACCAGUCUCUAACAGAAAAUGUGCAGGGGACUAGAGAAUCAAAAUCAAUAUCAACAUACAAUAUCUUGAAAAGUGAAUAAUCUCCAUUUGAAUGAUUCUGGUUUUUGUAAACCAACAACCAUCAUGCUCAGUUUCCAAGAAGUGAUCUUCUGCAUCUCCUUGUUUGCAAUCAAUUUAGUGUUUUGUUGUUUCACCUGCUUCUCUAUUCUUCAGAUCUUCAUGAAAGAUGAAAACCAGGAUUUCAGUGAUCUCAGGAAGAAUCUUGUUGAACCAGAAGAAGCUAAACCGGAUGAGAAGGUAAUGAUCAUUACAGUCUCGAGUAACCAAGGAUCCAUUGAUGAUGAUUGUGGCCAAGAUGAUUGCUCUCAUGAUGAUAUUUGUCCUUGUUGAAAGUUGAAACAAAGAUUCAGAGAGAGUAUCACAUCUUAUUGAACCAGAAGAAGCUAAACCAGAUGUGAAGGUGAUGAUCAUUACAGUCUCGAGUAACCAAGGAUUCUCUGACUCCACUGAUGAUGAUGAUGAUGAUUGUGGCCAAGAUUGCUGUCAUGAAUUAAACAAAGGCUAUUCUUGCAACAAUCGCUGUGAUUCUGGGUGUAUCUAAAGGAGCAGACGAAUGGUGAUGGAUCAAUCAUCUUGUGGGGUUACUCUCAAUCAUCUACUUCCUUUUUUUACGUACUCUAUGAAGAAACAAGAAAAAGGUGUAAAACUUCAAAAAAAUUUAUUUGAGUUUUGUUAUCUAUAUAAGAAGUCAAAGAUAUGAAUUUAAGACAAAGAGACCAAAUGUGACAAGACU